UGCGUAGGUGGUUUCUUAAGUCAGGAGUGAAAGGCUACGGCUCAACCGUAGUAAGCUCUUGAAACUGGGAAACUUGAGUGCAGGAGAGGAAAGUGGAAUUCCUAGUGUAGCGGUGAAAUACGUAGAUAUUAGGAGGAACACCAGUAGCGAAGGCGGCUUUCUGGACUGUAACUGACACUGAGGCACGAAAGCGUGGGGAGCAAACA
rnacentral:rRNA from 1 species